CGCACCCGAGCGUCCGACGGCUACUAUUGUUGCAGGCAGAACUAGGGUUCAGAUAAAAAAGAUCGCCCCUCUUGUCGACUCACCCGAUUAUCGAUGGCGUGCGACGCGUGCGGCUGCGCUUGCAGCGCCGGCGGCGAAGCACCCAGGGUGGAGCUGAAAGCGCCACUGCUGGUGGAUAUCGAGACCGGACCCAGCCCCAUCACGGCGGCGCCGGCAGACAGCGAGGUCGACGACGGGAUGGAGAAGGGGCGCAUGAUCGUCACCUCCAUUGCCCGGGUACGUAUUGAUGGAUGAAGUAGCGCCGGUGAACUUACAUACAAAAAAAGGAUUGUUGCUUUUGCUGUGGUUGUAUCUGGUCGAUUUAAUGAGAAGACCUUUGAUCAAUGAUGGCGAUAGUGAAUUUAGCCCGAUACACAUAGUUUGUGUCGGUUUCCCGGCCGUACUCGUGGGCAUGGUUUUCUUGCAAAUCUGUGUGUCCAUAUCCGUUCCUACAGAUGCCUCUGGAGUUCCUAUAGGGUUUGAACUUUGAAGCAAACGGAACUUUGCGCCUUUACAUGAAAACCCAUAUGAAUUGCACUCAAACUUCUUCAAAAUACUGUGUAAAUGUUAUGCUCAUUAAGGCCUUUCCAGUUUGAACUUUGUUGAAUCAUCUCAAUGUGCCUGAUCAUUAUUUAUACAAACAUAGUACUUAACAAAUUCA